rnacentral:rRNA from 1 species
AACGAACGCUGGCGGCAGGCCUAACACAUGCAAGUCGAGCGAGGACUUCGGUCCUAGCGGCGGACGGGUGAGUAACGCGUGGGAACGUGCCCUUUGCUACGGAAUAGCCCCGGGAAACUGGGAGUAAUACCGUAUGUGCCCGAGAGGGGAAAGAUUUAUCGGCAAAGGAUCGGCCCGCGUUGGAUUAGGUAGUUGGUGGGGUAAUGGCCUACCAAGCCGACGAUCCAUAGCUGGUUUGAGAGGAUGAUCAGCCACACUGGGACUGAGACACGGCCCAGACUCCUACGGGAGGCAGCAGUGGGGAAUCUUAGACAAUGGGGGAAACCCUGAUCUAGCCAUGCCGCGUGAGCGAUGAAGGCCUUAGGGUUGUAAAGCUCUUUCAGUGGGGAAGAUAAUGACGGUACCCACAGAAGAAGCCCCGGCUAACUCCGUGCCAGCCGCCGCCGCCGUAA